rnacentral:rRNA from 1 species
UACGUAGGGUGCAAGCGUUGUCCGGAAUUAUUGGGCGUAAAGAGCUCGUAGGCGGUUUGUUGCGUCGGCUGUGAAAUCCCGAGGCUCAACCUCGGGUCUGCAGUCGAUACGAGCAAACUAGAGUGUUGCAGGGGAGACUGGAAUUCCUGGUGUAGCGGUGAAAUGCGUAGAUAUCUGGAGGAACACCGGUGGCGAAGGCGGCAUCCUGGACCGGCAUUGACGCUGAGGAGCGAAAGCCAGGGGAGCAAACGGG